CCUGAUUUUCUAUGAUCUGUGAACAUGAAAUAUAUGGCGGAAUGCAGGUAAAACAGAGCAGGGGACUGUGGUGUGGUGGCUGCCCCACCCCAAUGCUAGAGGGGGCUGCAGCAGGCCAGUGGGCCUGCGCAGAUGAACAGCCAAUAGGAAGAGGGCUUAUUGGGAGCCAAUCAGGGCCAGGCUCAGCCCUAUAAGAAAUCUGCUUAUGGAGAGAACAGUCAGCAGUGCUUCUAUAUCCUGGGAAAUUUCCCAAUAUCUGGGAAUUUUUGAGUAAAAUGUUUCAAGUUGGGAAAUUGGGAAUUUUCAUUCAAAACCUAAAUAAUCCUGAGAAAAUUUCAUAAAAAGUAAAAGACUUUCCAAAGCUCAAUAAUCCUGGGAAGUUUUCAUAAAAAGUAAAAUAUUUGCACUUCUUUUAAAUUUCCCUCAAAAUGCGUCCUUCCAUUGGUGAAUAUUUGUCACGUGAUUUUCAUAAUCGGGCUGUGCUGCUCUCCUAUUGGUGGUGCUUCAACGUACUAUAUCAUGAUGGCACAAGUGAAGUGACAAGUGCGCACAUGCACUCACAACAAACCAACCUCAGGAACAGCUGGCUGGCGGGUAAUGAGAAGAUGGUUAUCAAAUUUAUCUUCUAGUUGCACAGAGAACGUGGACCAGAGCAUUCGGCUGUUCAUAAAUUUGUAACAACACCUUCCUCCAGGCAAAUAUUAAAUAUCUUUGCCUACUGUAUUAGAGAUCUCUUUCCAUUUUUUAUCUAACGUAAAAAAUGAAUUAAGAGACCGGUAAGGCUGGUGAGACGAGGAAGAGGACUGCAGGAGUAGACAAAGAUCCAUCCACGUCGAAACGAAAACAACUGGAUAGCACCCCUGACAGAGUAAAACUCAGAGAUCAUAAUAAUAAGGAAAAUUAUAUAAAAGAGUGUUAUUUGUUCUUUCUCUUUGCUUUUUUAUCUUAUUUUAUAAUCAUAUGUUUACUUUUUAUUUUUUGAAAGUAACUUUGAUGUACGGUACACAGUACACCACAGGGCACGUAUUAAUACUGGUGUAUUGUAAUACUUUAGUGAAAUUUGUGUAAAAUACAUUGUUUUUUAUCAUUUCAAUCCUACUCCUCAUGUGUUAAAUAUUUUAUUUACUGAAUAAGUAACAAAUUUAAAAUUGAAAAACAUGUCUAUACGUAUAAAAAUUAUAAUAAAUGUGAAAUAUCUCGAA